rnacentral:misc_RNA from 1 species
GGCUAAUCUAAACCACCCAUUUCUUGACUCAAAAGGAAGAAUAGUAGAAGAACUUUAAACUUCACCAAAAUCCCAAGAAAACCCAGAAAUCACCAUGGUUUUUCUAGUAAAAUUAAAGGGAGAUUCUCAAAAUAAAAGCUAGAAAAAGCAACAAUUUCAAUGGGGGAAUUCGGAUGUUCAUCAGUUCAUCAAACAACAGAGAAUUUCCAUUGCUA